UCCAGCCCUCCCGCUGGGGCGCCGGGGAGGCGGAGGCCUGGGAAGCCGAGUUUUCCUUGACGUUCGAGAGUUUGAGAGCGAAAGUGCUUUAGGCCCAGGCGGGGGUCGUGGUCCUGGUCCUGGUCCCUCGACACCCUCGCUCCGUCCGCUCUCUCCUCCUCGUCCUUUGCGCGCGCCCUUGGCUCCCUUCCCUUCCCUCUAGUUCUUUUCGGAGACGAAGUGAGACGCGGCUGCUUCCCGUGGACUCGCCUCCCAGCGGAUGGGAGCCUCCACUGUGGCUGCAGAGGCGCGUGCACAGCCUCCUCUCUUCGGCUCUUAUGCAAGUUGGGGCCAGGAUAGGGGAGGGGCGCUCUUCGGAGGGAGAAACCCAGAGAGGCCCGCGCCCCACCGAGGAAGCCCCGCCCCGGUGCCUUCGCUGGGGAGCAGGCGUCUCUCCUCAGUUGGCUUGUCGCCUGCUCCCCCAUCCCAUGGCUCCUCGCCAAAGACUGAAAUCGUGGAGCUGGAGGGCGCACCCCCAGAGUUUCCUCCCUGGGUCAGUUGAGGGAGGAGGGGGCAAUUCUGGUUUAGGGGUCAGACCCCCUGGGAGGCCCCAGCACCGCCCCUGAUGUUCCCUCCCCUGUCCCAAUCCGCAGCUCCGGUCUUGGGUUUCCGCCGCCUACUCCGUGUUCUGAGGCCAGGCCUCCCUGCCUAGCAGCGCCUCUAGUACAUCCCCCAGGCAUCUGGGGUCACAUGAGCUUAGAGGUUAGCACCUCCCUAUCCUCUAACUAGGACCCAAGGCCUUUGGCUUCCUCGGGCUGACUCCAGUCCUUGUCCCUUCUCCCCAUCAGCCGGGUCGGUCGGAGGCGCACUCUGCCCAUAGGGAAAGCGUUUGGGCUGUUUCCUUCCCCCAGGGCACUAAGGGGGACAGGCACUGCAUGCU
rnacentral:lncRNA from 1 species